rnacentral:rRNA from 1 species
CCUACUGGGGACAUCAUUGGGGAGUUUUGCACAAUGGGGGAAACCCUGAUGCACCUUUUCUUCGUGAAGUCCUCCUUUUUUCUUCUUUUCCCCUUCUUUUCUUCUUUCAUAAUAAUGACGGUAGCUAAGGAGCAAGCCACGGCUAACUACGUGCCAGCAGCCGCGGUAAUACGUAGGUGGCAAGCGUUGUCCGGAAUUACUGGGUGUAAAGGGAGCGCAGGCGGGAAGCCAAGUCAGCUGUGAAAACUACGGGCUUAACUUGUAGACUGCAGUUGAAACUGGUUUUCUUGAGUGAAGUAGAGGUUGGCGGAAUUCCGAGUGUAGCGGUGAAAUGCGUAGAUAUUCGGAGGAACACCGGUGGCGAAGGCGGCCAACUGGGCUUUAACUGACGCUGAGGCUCGAAAGUGUGGGGAGCAAACAGGAUUAGAUACCCUGGUAGUC